rnacentral:tRNA from 1 species
GGCGGCAUAGCCAAGUGGUAAGGCGAAGGUCUGCAAAACCUUUAUCCAGCGGUUCGAAUCCGCUUGCCGCCU